GUCAACAAGGAUGCUUGGCCCCCAAGGGGGUGGAUUUGGGGAUCCAUAUAGAUUGGAGAAGGAAACGAGUGCCAGAGAGGACGCUGGGCCAUGAAGGAGGUGAAUUGUGCAAUCCCGCAUCGAUGGAAGAAGAUAA